rnacentral:rRNA from 1 species
AUUGAACGCUGGCGGCAUGCUUUACACAUGCAAGUCGAACGGCAGCGCGGGCUUCGGCCUGGCGGCGAGUGGCGAAUGGGUGAGUAAUGCAUCGGAACGUGCCCAGUAGUGGGGGAUAGCCCGGCGAAAGCCGGAUUAAUACCGCAUACGGCCUGAGGGUGAAAGCGGGGGACCGAAAGGCCUCGCGCUAUUGGAGCGGCCGAUGUCGGAUUAGCUAGUUGGUGGGGUAAAGGCUUACCAAGGCGACGAUCCGUAGCUGGUCUGAGAGGACGACCAGCCACACUGGGACUGAGACACGGCCCAGACUCCUACGGGAGGCAGCAGUGGGGAAUUUUGGACAAUGGGGGCAACCCUGAUCCAGCCAUGCCGCGUGCGGGAAGAAGGCCUUCGGGUUGUAAACCGCUUUUGUUCGGGAAGAAAUCCUCUGGGCUAAUACCCCGGGGGGAUGACGGUACCGGAAGAAUAAGCACCGGCUAACUACGUG